CCCAAAAUCUGCAGGUGCAGCCGAGGCCUUGGCAAGGAGCAGGCUGAUUAUCAAGUUCAGAAAACAGCUACACUGUCUUGUUAAUUCUUCUUCAAGGUCUUGAGCACAGCAUAAAUUCCAAUGGAAAGGAACUUGGAGCUUUAAGGAUCACAGGCAGCGAAUCAGAGUCCCUGGCUUCUGGAUUGAACCACUCUCCAUGUUUCCAAUUACAACUCACCAGUAAGGUUCUUUGUUUAAAAAAUGAGAAUCUCAAAAAGAAAAAAAAUCCUUUCCAUUCAUUGCUUUUGCAUUUACCUGAUUGUAUGUUCUGAAAGGAAGGAUGGCUUUUAAGGCCACUAAUGCAGCAUAAUUAUGCUAAAAGCAGUAGACUAUAAUUAUAAUGUGAUCUCUGAAGAAAGGGACUAGUGGUGGAGGGGUGGGGAUGGCUGAGGCUAAUAAAGGGAACUUGCUAAAGCAUUUAAGCUACAAUCCAACAAUAUUACAUUCCUGUAAACCUAUUGAAUCAAUGAGCUUAAACCUAUCUCUGUGUUGAACUUUGGCUUUGAGCUGUAUGUUUCAUCAGCAAGCAACAGUCCAAUCCUAUGCGUGUUUAUUUAAAGAGAGCACUAAGGUCAGUAGGAUUUACUCCUAAUUAAGCAUGCAUAAGACUCCUAGUCAAUCUAGCCUUUUUUGCAUUUUGUAUCAUGAUUUCUUGAAUGGAAGCUUCGGUUGAAACAAUUUCAAAAGCUGCCAGCUCAAAUGCUGUGAUGUGAAAACUAAACCUUGUUAUUUGUUCUGUCGGCUCCAAGACCUUCAUUUUAUUUGUAAUCAUAUUUUCCUCUUGAUUUUAAGAAUAAUAAAA